UGUAUGGUUAAGUGACUAAGCGUACACGGUGGAUGCCUGGGCAGUCAGAGGCGAUGAAGGACGUACUAACUUGCGAUAAGCGCAGAUAAGGCAGUAAGAGCCGUUUGAGUCUGCGAUUUCCGAAUGGGGAAACCCAACUGCAUAAGCAGUUACUGUUAACUGAAUACAUAGGUUAACAGAGCAAACCGGGGGAACUGAAACAUCUAAGUACCCCGAGGAGAAGAAAUCAACCGAGAUUCCGGUAGUAGCGGCGAGCGAACCUGGAUUAGCCCUUAAGCACUCGGUGAAGUAGGUGAACAAGCUGGAAAGCUUGGCGAUACAGGGUGAUAGCCCCGUAACCGACGCUUCAUCGAGCGUGAAAUCGAGUAGGGCGGGACACGUGAUAUCCUGUCUGAAUAUGGGGGGACCAUCCUCCAAGGCUAAAUACUCCUGACUGACCGAUAGUGAACCAGUACCGUGAGGGAAAGGCGAAAAGAACCCCUGUGAGGGGAGUGAAAUAGAACCUGAAACCGUGUACGUACAAGCAGUAGGAGCACCUUCGUGGUGUGACUGCGUACCUUUUGUAUAAUGGGUCAGCGACUUAUAUUCAGUGGCAAGGUUAACCGUAUAGGGGAGCCGUAGCGAAAGCGAGUCUUAACUGGGCGCUCAGUCUCUGGAUAUAGACCCGAAACCGGGUGAUCUAGCCAUGGGCAGGUUGAAGGUUGAGUAACAUCAACUGGAGGACCGAACCGACUAAUGUUGAAAAAUUAGCGGAUGACUUGUGGCUAGGGGUGAAAGGCCAAUCAAACUCGGAGAUAGCUGGUUCUCCCCGAAAGCUAUUUAGGUAGCGCCUCGGACGAAUACUACUGGGGGUAGAGCACUGUUAAGGCUAGGGGGUCAUCCCGACUUACCAACCCUUUGCAAACUCCGAAUACCAGUAAGUACUAUCCGGGAGACACACGGCGGGUGCUAACGUCCGUCGUGGAGAGGGAAACAACCCAGACCGCCAGCUAAGGUCCCAAAGUAUUGCUAAGUGGGAAACGAUGUGGGAAGGCUCAGACAGCUAGGAUGUUGGCUUAGAAGCAGCCAUCAUUUAAAGAAAGCGUAAUAGCUCACUAGUCGAGUCGGCCUGCGCGGAAGAUGUAACGGGGCUAAGCAAUACACCGAAGCUGCGGCAAUGUCUUUUAGACAUUGGGUAGGGGAGCGUUCUGUAAGCCGUUGAAGGUGAAUCGUAAGGUUUGCUGGAGGUAUCAGAAGUGCGAAUGCUGACAUGAGUAACGACAAAGGGGGUGAAAAACCUCCUCGCCGGAAGACCAAGGGUUCCUGUCCAACGUUAAUCGGGGCAGGGUGAGUCGACCCCUAAGGUGAGGCCGAAAGGCGUAAUCGAUGGGAAACGGGUUAAUAUUCCCGUACUUCUGACUAUUGCGAUGGGGGGACGGAGAAGGCUAGGUGGGCCAGGCGACGGUUGUCCUGGUUCAAGUGCGUAGGCUUGAGAGUUAGGUAAAUCCGGCUCUCUCUAAGGCUGAGACACGACGUCGAGCUACUACGGUAGUGAAGUCAUUGAUGCCAUGCUUCCAGGAAAAGCCUCUAAGCUUCAGAUAGUCAGGAAUCGUACCCCAAACCGACACAGGUGGUCGGGUAGAGAAUACCAAGGCGCUUGAGAGAACUCGGGUGAAGGAACUAGGCAAAAUGGUACCGUAACUUCGGGAGAAGGUACGCUCUUGAUGGUGAAGUCCCUCGCGGAUGGAGCUGACGAGAGUCGCAGAUACCAGGUGGCUGCAACUGUUUAUUAAAAACACAGCACUGUGCAAAAUCGCAAGAUGACGUAUACGGUGUGACGCCUGCCCGGUGCCGGAAGGUUAAUUGAUGGGGUUAGCGCAAGCGAAGCUCUUGAUCGAAGCCCCGGUAAACGGCGGCCGUAACUAUAACGGUCCUAAGGUAGCGAAAUUCCUUGUCGGGUAAGUUCCGACCUGCACGAAUGGCGUAAUGAUGGCCACGCUGUCUCCACCCGAGACUCAGUGAAAUUGAAAUCGCUGUGAAGAUGCAGUGUACCCGCGGCUAGACGGAAAGACCCCGUGAACCUUUACUACAGCUUGGCACUGAACAUUGAACCUACAUGUGUAGGAUAGGUGGGAGGCUAUGAAGACGUGACGCCAGUUGCGUUGGAGCCGUCCUUGAAAUACCACCCUUGUAUGUUUGAUGUUCUAACUUAGACCCAUUAUCUGGGUUGAGGACAGUGCCUGGUGGGUAGUUUGACUGGGGCGGUCUCCUCCCAAAGAGUAACGGAGGAGCACGAAGGUGGGCUAAUCACGGUUGGACAUCGUGAGGUUAGUGCAAUGGCAUAAGCCCGCUUAACUGCGAGAAUGACGGUUCGAGCAGGUGCGAAAGCAGGUCAUAGUGAUCCGGUGGUUCUGUAUGGAAGGGCCAUCGCUCAACGGAUAAAAGGUACUCCGGGGAUAACAGGCUGAUACCGCCCAAGAGUUCAUAUCGACGGCGGUGUUUGGCACCUCGAUGUCGGCUCAUCACAUCCUGGGGCUGAAGUCGGUCCCAAGGGUAUGGCUGUUCGCCAUUUAAAGUGGUACGCGAGCUGGGUUUAGAACGUCGUGAGACAGUUCGGUCCCUAUCUGCCGUGGG
rnacentral:rRNA from 1 species